GGCAAGAUGGCCGAGUUGGUUAUGGCGCCAGGUUAAGGAACACCUUAAUUGACAUCUCCUGGUAGGGAAACCUGCGUGGGUUCAAGUCCCACUCUUGUCA